rnacentral:rRNA from 1 species
CAGAGGGUGCAAGCGUUAAUCGGAUUUACUGGGCGUAAAGCGUGUGUAGGUGGCCGCGUAAGUCGGUUGUGAAAUCCCUGGGCUUAACCUGGGAAUUGCAUCCGAUACUGCGUGGCUCGAGUUCGGUAGAGGGCAGCAGAAUUCCCGGUGUAGCGGUGAAAUGCGUAGAUAUCGGGAGGAAUACCGAUGGCGAAGGCAACUGCCUGGGCCUGAACUGACACUGUGACACGAAAGCGUGGGUAGCAAACAGGAUUAGAUACCCUGGUAGUCCACGCCGUAAACGAUGGGAACCUGACGUCGGUUUGCUCUGCGAAUCGGUGUCGUAGCUAACGCGCUAAGUUCCCCGCCUGGGGAGUACGGCCGCAAGGUUG